GCAGUGUCAUGUAACCGUCCAGGCGCACUGUGCCAUGGCCGUGGAGAAAAAGGCAAUAACCCUAAACCUGGAGGAGAGCAUUGUAAAAAGAAUCCAAGUCUCAGAGGGUGCUAUAACCAUGGAGGUCAUGAACGUGGAGGAGAGGAAGACCCUAUCCAUAAAAGGCAUGGUCAUGAACACGGAGGAGAGCAUGACCCCAACCAUAAAGGCCGUGGUCAUGAACAUGGAGGAGUAGUGCUUGAACCCAUCCAUGGAGGGAAAGGCCACGGUCACGAACGCGGAGGAGAGGGAGAC
rnacentral:lncRNA from 1 species